rnacentral:rRNA from 1 species
CUGGCGGCGUGCUUAACACAUGCAAGUCGAGCGGUAAGGCCCUUCGGGGUACACGAGCGGCGAACGGGUGAGUAACACGUGGGUGAUCUGCCUCGCACUUCGGGAUAAGCCUGGGAAACUGGGUCUAAUACCGGAUAUGACCUGCUGUCGCAUGGCGGUGGGUGGAAAGAUUUAUCGGUGCGAGAUGGGCCCGCGGCCUAUCAGCUUGUUGGUGGGGUAAUGGCCUACCAAGGCGACGACGGGUAGCCGGCCUGAGAGGGCGACCGGCCACACUGGGACUGAGACACGGCCCAGACUCCUACGGGAGGCAGCAGUGGGGAAUAUUGCACAAUGGGCGAAAGCCUGAUGCAGCGACGCCGCGUGAGGGAUGACGGCCUUCGGGUUGUAAACCUCUUUCGACAGGGACGAAGCGCAAGUGACGGUACCUGUAGAAGAAGCACCGGCCAACUACGUGCCAGCAGCC